GAGAUAAGAAAAUUGAGAGAGCAGCUGUCAGAUGUAUAUCAGGCUUGGGUCUCCGAUCGACCUCCACCCCAAGGUCCAUCCGAGGGAAUUUCCUUCAUACCUAUGGCUACUCAAACACCACUCCAUGCAACAAGCAAUUACAUUCUACCACCAGAGUAUGUGCCAAACUACAGCCUCCAUACUGCUCCCGGUGCCUCUAACAUGAGACCUCCAGUCACACCAGUCAAGAACACCCCUCUCGUCGUGUUUGGCGCAUCGGUAUAUAAAAUCCUGCCACCACCUCCUCCUGUGAUGAGGCCAAAUAAUGAGCCACCAACUCAUGUUUAUAAUGGCCAAUACUGUUCUUCAAAUAUGUCUUUCGGGGUCUCGGCUCCAUGCAAUCAGACUCCACAGUAUGAGUCACAAGUGGAAAAUUAAAAGCCUGCCAAAACGGUUAAGCAUGAUGAGAUGACUAGAAAGAUAAGAAGUCUUGAAUAGAAUAAAAAGAAUAUACAGGGACUGGGCGGUCACAAAAGUGUUUUAUUUAGUGAUCUAUAUAUGUUCCCUCACAUCCAUUUGCCACAAGUGUUUAAGACCCAAGAAUUUGAGAAAUAUGAUGGACAUGGCGACCCUAUCACCCACUUGAAAAGGUACUGCAAUCAUCUGAGGGGUGCAGGAGGAAUGGAAGAGCUGCUGAUGGCUUACUUUGGGAAAGCCUUGUGGGUAUAGCUUCUGAAUGGUUCAUCGACAAAGACAUCUCUCAUUGGGAUGUUUGGGAUGACAUGGCCCAAGAGUUCGUCAAAUUGUUUUGCUACAACAUUGAUAUUGGGCUGGAUCGUAAUACCUUGUCCAACAUGAAGAAAAAGCCGACCGAAAGUUUUACGGAGUAUGCCAUCAAGUGGAGGGAGAAAACGGUUAGAGUUAAGCCACCCAUGGAUAAACACAACUUGAUUAGUGUUUUUCUGGAGGCACAAGAGCCUGAUUACUUUUAGAACAUGAUGUCCACGAUGGGUAGACCUUUUAGCAGAAGCAAUCAAAAUAGGGGAGAUGGUCAAAAAUGGCAGAAUUGUAAGCCAAGCUACUCUCAAAAACAACCACCCAAGCUAUCUAAAAUGGGUCGGGAGGUUUGGCAAAUAGAAAGAAGAGAGAUGAAGUGUCCAUGAUGGCUUCGGGAUCUAGGGAAGUUCAAAGAGGGGCAUCACACCCUUAUGUUCAAGUUCAGCAGGGGCAAUCCAGCUACCCUCAACAUUACUAUCCCCCGCCAAUUCCUCAAUACUCUAUGGGCCCAUCACAAUAUACAGUGUUCAAUGCUCAAUCAUAUGCUCAGCCUCCAAAUCAGCAGGUACGAGCAUCAGCACCAAGUGCUCCCCGACCUUGCCAAUUCCUCAAUGCUAUGUGGGACCACCACAAUAUACAAUUUUCAAUGCUCAAUCAUAUGCUCGGCCUCCCAAUCAGCAAGUACCGGCACCAGCUCCAAGGGCCCCCCGACCUCAACAGCAAAAUUUUCGGGCACCUUACAACACUUCUCCCAGGCAGGAUUAUGGUCGAGAGAAGAGGCUAGCAGAAAAAAAAUUCACUUCAUUGGCCUAAUCAUACUCUAGUCUAUUCUAGAAACUGAAGUAAAUGGGUGUGAUUGGACCAAUCGCUCCCCACCACAUGCAUCCUGAUUCGCAUGGAUUUAAAGAAAAUGCUAGAUGUGAAUAUCAUUCAGGUGCUCCGGGGCAUAACACUGAUGACUGUUGGACUUUGAAAAGAGCCAUAGAGAGGCUCAUUUCUAAAAAAUUGAUUGUAGUAUCAAAUGGCGAGGACCCUCAUAAUGCGACAAAUAACUCGUUGCCAACACACAAUGAUGAAUUCAUUUUCUGGGAAUGAUCGGAUGAGAUCAAUAAUACAAGCCGGUCGGUUGAGAAAAAAUGAUAGUGGGAGUAAUUCAAGAAGGAACAAAUUUGGAAGUAAGUCCAAGCCGAGAUGUGCCGUAAAUUGUGAAAGGCGACCCAAACACAGAAAAGGUAACCUUAUGUGUACCUAAGGUACCAAGGAUGGAGGUUCGCUCCAAUGUUCCAAGCCCAAUGUUGUAUGUCCUUGGAGGCCACCCCAUCACAAUGCAGAAUCAGGGAGGUACGAAUGGUAUAACAGAGCCAAUCAUAAUCAAACCCAUCGUGCAACCCCCUUGGACAAAUAUGAAAACCAUUUCUUGGAACUAUAAAAAAAUUGUGAUGACCUACAAAGGCAAGGAAAUCAUAAAGGAAGUGGCGGAAACUGGAGGUUUGAUCCGGUAGGGAAGGUGUCACUCUCCAGACGAGUUGAGGAAGGCCAAUUUGCAAUAAAGAAACCCAUCACUAAAGCAGAGGCGGAAGAGUUUUUGAAGAAAAUGAAAGUUCAGGAUUACUCAAUCAUUGACCAACUAAGAAAGACUCCUACCCAAAUCUCUCUACUAUCUCUGCUCAUACAUUCCAAAGAGCAUGCCCGUAUACUAGUAAGGUCCUGGACGAGGCACAUAUCUUAGAGGAGACCACAUUGAAUAAGUUAGAGAAGAUGGCCAACAGAUUUUUUGAGGUGAACAGAAUCUCCUUUACUGAUGAUAAACUUCCCGAGGAAGGAGCCAGGCACAAUAGGGCUUUGAACUUGAUGGUCGAAUGUGAAGGGCAUUAUGUAAGAAGAUGGCCAACAGAUUUUUUGAGGUGAACAGAAUCUCCUUUACUGAUGAUAAACUUCCCGAGGAGGGAGCUGGGCACAAUAGGGCUUUGAACUUGAUGGUGAAAUAUGAGGGGCAUUAUGUAAAGUGAGUCAUGGUUGAUGGAGGCUUAAGUGUAGAUGUAUGGCCUGUCUCUACCUUGCAAAGCAUAAAGAUCAAUACAGACAGAAUCCGACCUAGUAAUGUUCGCAUCCGGGCUUUUGAUGGCUCAACUAAAGAUACCAUUGGGGAAAUCAAUCUCACCAUGAUGAUUUGGCCGGUUGACUUUGAGAUUGUCUUCGAAGUAGUGGACAUGGCCACUUCUUAUAACUUUCUUCUUGGAACGCCAUGGAUCGAUACGGCCCUAGCUGUGCCAUUCACCUUGUAUCAGAUGCUUAAAUUAUAACAUGACAGGUAAGAAAUUAUUUGUUCACGGGGAAGAAUAGUCUUCCAUUUAUGAAGACCCGUUAAUCCCCUACAUUGAGGCUAAUGAAGGGUCUGAGUCCAUUAUCUAUCAGGCUUUUGAAGUGGUUGUUGUGGACCAUGUCAAGGAAGGAAAGCCCAUUCUGCACCCUCAUCUUUCCUCUACAUCAAUACUGGUGGCUGCAAUUAUGAUAAGACAAGGUUAUGAACCAGGAAAAGGCUUGGGGAAUCAUUACAAGGAAUUUCAGAGCCUAUUACCCAAGAAGAUGAAAACAAAGCGAAGCACCGCAAAAAGUAUGGAUGGGUCUUAUAACAACCUAUCCCUCAUAUUUUCUACACUUUUGUCAAGCCACCGACUCCAAGAGGGUCAAAAUUCCUCUGCGCAUGCAAACAUUGAUAAAAUUUGCCAUGGCCUCAGCCAGAUGUUUUCUGAAGUGAAUAUGAUCCAGGAUGGUGAAGGCACUAGUCGUGCCGAUAUGCAACUAACUGACCCAGACACCAUGCUCACCAACUGGGAAGCAACUCCUCUCCCCACAAGGAAGGAGUCUUGGUAGUUUGCUUUUGCAGCUUUUUUUGUGUUGUAUUUUGUGUUACUUUCAGGGUUGUAAUCCAAACAUCUCAAUAUAAUUGUUUUAUUAUGAUGUUAACCCUUCUAUCUUUCGAAUUCAAUGAAAUGCAGUUCAGUUUCCAUUAAGUUUUCAAUAUUUUCCUUUUCCUAAUUCCUGUCAUUUUAUUUCCAUUUUAGUUUUUUUAAUGCCUGCUUUAAUAACAUGACAUGGAUGCAAAAUUAACGACCAUAUCUUAAAAAGCUGUCUAAUAUCAAAAUAACCCAUCAAGAGGUUGAAUACGAUAAAGAUGAGGUUGUUGAAGAAAUAAAAAGAGAAUUGGAAAAAUUUGAAAACAAGCAUAAGCCAAACCUCAAUGAAACUGAGCCGAAUAAUAUCGAAAGUCCAUAAGAAGUUAGAGAAACAAAGAUAAGCAUUCACACCGAGCAAAAAACUAGAGAUGCCUUGAUUCAACUUUUAUUUCAAUAUAGAGAUGUGUUUGCUUGGUCUUACGAUUAUAUGCCGGGUUUAAGUAUUGAUCUGGUGGUUCAUAAGCUUCUUAUGUAUAUUAAUUCUCCACCAGUACAACAAAAAAAACAAAAAAUCAAAACAUACAUGAGUGACAAAAUCAAAGAGGAAAUAAUGAAGCAAUCGAGCGCCAAUGUGGUCAGAGCUGUCUGAUACACCACUUAGGUGGCGAAUGUUAUCCCCGUGCCGAAAAAGGUUGGAAAGACCAGAAUUUGUGUUGACUAUAGGGACCUGAACAAAGCAAGUCCAAAGGAUAAUUUUCCUUUACCAAAUAUCCACAUUCUUGUUGAAUGUAAUGUUUCCUUACUUCAUCUCGUAUUCUAGGGUUAUAGUCAGAAAUAGGUAUUCUUGCUCCUGGAUCGCUUUUAAGUGACCCCAGAUCGAGUUUAUUUAUAAGAUAGGAAAGAUUGGCAUUCGCUUGGAUCAAGGACAACUAGGACUUGGUUGAGAAUGAUCCAAUCUCGUGACAAAUUUAUCCAUCUCAAUUCAGUUCCUAUAAAAUAGAAGUUCAUUUCUGUGAGAAAUAUAGAUCAAUUUCGACUAGGUCAUACCAGCAAUAAGUUUAGUUAUUUUAAAUAACUCAACCUUCCCUAAUAUCUUAGCCAUCGUUAAAAUAGAGUUAAUUUUGAAUUUUCCUUGAUCAAAAUUAUUUGGGAUGUUCUUUCCAUGAUACUAAAUUCUACAGUGAAACCAGGUAAGAGGCAUUUGAUUUUCAAACACACACAAAGAAAUACAUAACAAAAAAAUCAAAAUAGUGACAAUAAAAUUUAGCAAGAACACUGAAAUUCAACUAAAUACAAAAUCAAAAUAGAGCAAGAACAUAUAUUUGAUGGGGAAAAAAAUCACAUAGGUUAAGAAAUAAACAUGAGGAGGUGAGAAAACUUUACAAUGGUGGGCGUAGAGCAAUGGCCAGUGAGGUAUGGAGCAUCCGCAGAGAUAAAGAAAAAUAAAUGCUACAGUCUAAGGGAUUUGGGGAAAGUGGCGUGAAGAAGCAUCGAGAAUUGAAGCGAGAAGAAGAAUUGAAAAAAUAGUGGCGUGAAGAAGUGGGGAAGGGGAAAGUGGCGUAAGGUAAGGGAUAUGUGAAUUGGGG
rnacentral:lncRNA from 1 species